UGGGGAAUAUUGCACAAUGGAGGGAACUCUGAUGCAGCGACGCCGCGUGAGUGAUGAAGGACUUCGUUUCGUAAAACUCUGUUCUAGGGGAAGAAAAGGACUGUACCAUAGGAGAAAGCUCCGGCUAAAUACGUGCCAGCAGCCGCGGUAAUACGUAUGGAGCGAGCGUUGUCCGGAACUAUUGGGCGUAAAGGGUGCGCAGGCGGCUUUACAAGUUGGAUGUGAAAUAUUGUGGCUCAACCACAAACGUGCAUCCAAAACUGCAAAGCUUUAGUUAAGGAGAGGUAAGUGGAAUGCCUGGUGUAGCGGUGGAAUGCAUAGAUAUCAGGAGGAAUACCGGUGGCGAAGGCGACUUACUGGACUUAAACUGACGCUCAGGCACGAAAGCGUGGGGAGCAAACAGG
rnacentral:rRNA from 1 species